GGCCAUGAAUCUAAAAUCCUGGCCCCCAGAACUCACAUGUUCCAACCUGCCGCGCAGUAACCUGUUAACAGCCCCCCAGAACUUGAAGCUCAAUCAAUGGCACAGAACAGUUUACAGAGUGGGGGAGCUACCUCUGUGUGUGCCCCUUACCGCCCCCUCAAGCUAGGCCCAAGAGUAGGGUGGGAGGGGACAUGGAUGGGGUUUUGACUCCUAAACUGACUGCUAGGCCUCACUGCCCAUGCCCUGGUUGUGGAUAGGAGUAAAGAAAGAAGAGAGACUUCCAGAGCAGUAAGUGGGGAAAAGAGGAAAAUGAGUAUCACCUGGGACUGUGUUUGUUGCAAAAAGCUGACAAUAUCAAGUCCAGUAAGGAGAAACCAUGCCCUAUACUGUAAACAAAAAGCAGCUGGACUGUGCUGAGGAGGUCCAGUGAGAGAACAGUUUAAGCAGUGUUUGAUGUUGCCAUGCAUUUGUGUAUUAGUUCUCAGGCAGUAUUUUGUUUUAGCUUGGAACUGAUAUUCUUUGCAACAAGAUGUAUGCAAAUAAAUUUCCCAUGAGCUCUUGCAAGAGGUUAUUUGCAGCACAAACUAAAACCAUUAUAAACUACUAAGAUGCCCCUAAACUGGCCUAAAAAUUAUCUGAGGAACAGAGAAC